GUUACUGCAAGUCAUAUUGUUUUUCUUUGCUAUGUGAUGAGUAAGGUAGGUGAAAAGAAAAAAAAAAAGAGAAAGGAAUCAACCUCCCCCUGGAAUUACAAAAUCUCGCAGAGGAAUGGACACGAUUGUAUUAGUAUAAUGGCACAAACAUAUGUCAAAUCCAAAGAUAUAGAUUAUUUUUUUUGUACUGAUCAAUCUAGCAAAAAAAUAGAUACAGCCAAAGGCUCUCAGACCCUAAACCCAGUUAACCAAUCCCAGAAUCUUCAAGACUAUAUACCCCAAGAUCGAUUUGACCAUUACCAAAAUAAGAUCCAGAGCUUAAUUAAUCAGCAAGAAAAGAGAAAUACAGAUGAGUUCUAAAUCAAACAGUUCGAACCAAAGCCAAAAAGAAAUCCCUAACAACCACCAAAUUACAACAACAAUGAUAAGUGGGUAUUUGAUUUCAAAAUGAUUGAUUAGAAAGGAAAAACGAUCAGACAAAUCAAAUAAAAUGUAUAGUUAAGAUAAUGAAAGAAAUUAAACUAAAGAACGAAGAGGAUGAGAAUGAAAAGGAGGAAAAGGAAGAGUACGGAGAAAUUUCUAUUUCCAUUUUCAUUAAAAUCGUUAGCUCGCAUCUCAAUAACCAUUUGCUCCUUCAGCAACCUUACUACUACUACUCUCUCUUUCUUUCCCAAAUUUCCCGACAAUGCUUUCAUUUUCACUACUCAACUUACAAUUAAACAAAUACUCGUAAUACACUCUCACAUAUUCGUGCUUUUAUAGUACAAUACUAGUCUACGCUCGCACACCAACCGCGCCUGAUAAGUGAUAAGUU
rnacentral:lncRNA from 1 species